rnacentral:rRNA from 1 species
CUUUACCAUGCAGUCGAACGGCAGCGCGGGGCAACCUGGCGGCGAGUGGCGAACGGGUGAGUAAUACAUCGGAACGUGCCCUGUGAUGGGGGAUAACUACGCGAAAGCGUAGCUAAUACCGCAUACGACCCAAGGGUGAAAGUGGGGGAUCGCAAGACCUCACGUCAUAGGAGCGGCCGAUGGCGGAUUAGCUAGUUGGUGAGGUAAAGGCUUACCAAGGCGACGAUCCGUAGCUGGUCUGAGAGGACGACCAGCCACACUGGGACUGAGACACGGCCCAGACUCCUACGGGAGGCAGCAGUGGGGAAUCUUGGACAAUGGGGGCAACCCUGAUCCAGCAAUGCCGCGUGUGGGAUGAAGGCCUUCGGGUUGUAAACCACUUUUGGCGGGGGCGAAAUAUCGAGUGCUAAUACCAUUCGGUGAUGACGGUACCCGCAGAAUAAGCACCGGCUAACUACGUGCCAGCAGCACGGG